rnacentral:pre_miRNA from 3 species
UCUUACGAAUGAGCAAAGAAAGUGAUUUGUUGAGAUGGAAUCUACUUCUGAUGAUGAUGCUGUGAA